AGAGUUUGAUCCUGGCUCAGAUUGAACGCUGGCGGCAUGCUUUACACAUGCAAGUCGAGCGGGGUGUGAGGGCAACUUCACAUUCAGCGGCGGACGGGUGAGUAAUGCAUCGGAACGUAUCCUGUAGUGGGGGACAACCCAGCGAAAGCUGGGCUAAUACCGCAUAUGCUCGGGAGAGGAAAGCGGGGGCUCGCAAGACCUCGCGCUAUAGGAGCGGCCGAUGUCCGAUUAGCUAGUUGGUGGGGUAAAGGCCCACCAAGGCGACGAUCGGUAGCUGGUCUGAGAGGAUGAUCAGCCACACUGGGACUGAGACACGGCCCAGACUCCUACGGGAGGCAGCAGUGGGGAAUUUUGGACAAUGGGGGCAACCCUGAUCCAGCCAUGCCGCGUGCGGGAAGAAGGCCUUCGGGUUGUAAACCGCUUUUGGUCGGGAAGAAAAGGUCUACCCUAAUAAGGUGGACUGUUGACGGUACCGGCAGAAUAAGCACCGGCUAACUACGUGCCAGCAGCCGCGGUAAUACGUAGGGUGCGAGCGUUAAUCGGAAUUACUGGGCGUAAAGCGUGCGCAGGCGGUUCGUUGUGUCUGAUGUGAAAGCCCCGGGCUCAACCUGGGAAUGGCAUUGGAAACUGGCGAGCUAGAGUGUGGCAGAGGGGGGUGGAAUUCCGCGUAGCAGUGAAAUGCGUAGAGAUGCGGAGGAACACCGAUGGCGAAGGCAGCCCCCUGGGCUAGCACUGACGCUCAGGCACGAAAGCGUGGGGAGCAAACAGGAUUAGAUACCCUAGUAGUCC
rnacentral:rRNA from 1 species